GUAGAGGGGCUUAGCCCCUGGUCAUGUUUCCCCACCCAGGCCCACAUCCAGGGCCAGGUGUGAGACGACUUAGACGAGGAGA